UCUCUCUGCAGGUGUUGGUUGCGGUUGGACACAUAUUUUAUAUGGAGUUUCAUAGGCCCUGCCACGCUCAUAAUAAUGCUGAACGUCAUCUUCCUGGGUAUCGCCCUCUAUAAGAUGUUCCACCAUACAGCUAUCCUCAAACCAGACUCUGGGUGCCUGGACAACAUCAAAUCGUGGGUGAUUGGUGCCAUAGCUCUCCUCUGUCUGUUGGGUCUGACGUGGGCGUUUGGUCUGAUGUAUAUCAAUGAGAGCACAGUGAUCAUGGCCUACCUGUUCACCAUCUUCAACUCCCUACAGGGCAUGUUCAUAUUUAUCUUCCACUGCAUACUACAGAAGAAGGUAACACACACACACACACACACACACACAGACACAGACACAGACACAGACACACACACACAGAUACAGACACAGACACACACACACACAGACACACACACACACACACACACACAGACACACACACAGACACACACACACACACACACACACAGACACACACAGACACAGACACACACACACACACACACAGACACACACACACACACUCUCUCUCUCCCACUCACACACAAUCUCUCUCAUACACACUCUCACACACACACACACACACACACUCCCACCACGAUAACCACAUUUCGAAGCCAAGAUUCAGUCCAUUGUAUAAACAUGAGGAUGUUGCCUCUAGCUGUACAUGUGGUGUCAAUCCAAUAAUGUGCUGUAUGUUGUCUGACAUGGUUCUGUGUUCUGACAUGUUGUUGGAUGUUACUCUACGGGACACCUUCAGCAGGCUCACACAUCACCAACACUCAGAAAGAGUUGUCCAACAAAUGCCUGAACACAAUCCAAUAUUAUUCUCCCACACACAUCUACU